rnacentral:ncRNA from 1 species
AUAACAACAUUAAUAAGGAAUAGUAGGAAUUGAUUUAUUUCAGCGAGUAUGUGGUUGGUGCGAACAUACAAUAAAGAAAUUUUGAACUCGCCUUAGUGUUUUCCUAUUGAACUCAUAGUAGGUAGGAACGGUAUUUCCCGUUAUGAAAAGAGUGUUAAUAGAUUAAAUUCUAUUAAAAUAUAGGUGGUACCGCGAUAAUUACGUUAACUAUUCGUCCUAUAU